AGAGGCUCUUGAAAGGAAAAAAACAAAGCAAGAUGAACUCCUGGAGAGAUGGGAUACACGAGACUCUAACUCAAGAAAAAAAGAAAAUGGACUGGAGCAGCCUGGAGGCAUAUGAGACACAAACUGAAUGAUGAGACCCUACCACCUCCCAGGAUGGACAUCUGUGCCAAAAAUGUGGCCAAGAGAGAUGGUUCCAUCUAAAGUACUUGCAUGCUGUCGCAAUGUGGGCGAGGUAGGAGCAAUGAUGUGAAAUCUUUCAGGAAUAAGCACUCUGACAUUAAUGACAGUGAGGAGACCAGAUGUCACGGGUGGACUGAAGCCAGAAUAGCUCCGGAAAGACUUCGAUCUCAGAGGCGCUGUUUUCAUCGUCGUCCAUCCCACCCCGUCUUCAGGACAACCGAAGAUGCUGUCUUCAGUAGGAAGGACUUUCAGGCAUCUUAAAGGUAAAGUCUCCAGGUCUGUUGUCCCUGUGUGAUCCAAGCCCCUCACCCUGCAUCAUCGGGUUGGUGUUUACAGACUGCUCGGCCUCCGCCUAAGACAAAGCAAAGCAUCUCCAUCAGUUCUCAGACUUCGUGUUUACUGUGGAAGAAGCCCCAAGAUGGCCAACAAAGCCUUGAGUUCUGGAACCAAGGCCCGUAACAAAGAGAGAGGGUCUAGAGAAAUGACUCAGUGGUUGAGAGCCCUGGCUGCUCUCCUAGAGGACUCAGCUUCAAUUCCCAGCACCCACAUGGCAGCUCCCAGCCAUCUGUAACUCCAGUUCCAGAGGAUUCCACAGCCUCUUCGGGCCUCCGAUUUGGUGACAUUCUCUGAUGUGGCUAUAGACUUCUCUCAGGCGGAGUGGGCCUGUCUGGACUCUGUGCAGAGGGACCUGUACUGGGAUGUGAUGCUGGAGAACUACAGUAACCUGAUCUCCCUAGAACUGGAAUCUGAAGAUACACCUCAACUGACAUGCCCAAGUCUCAGGGUUCCAUCCCCAGAACCAGAAGCGUAAUUCUGACAGUAAUUCAUGCAUGCUGGCAGCCAUCUUUCUCUGCUUAACUUGAGGAUGGGAAAUUAUCAAAAGGGGCGAACAUUUUAGCUAUUAGAAGAAGCAUUUAUGGACUGAGCUCUUGCAAAAGGAAUCCAAGUGACAAAAGUAUAUCUCCUCACCCUGACGGGAUUGGUGAAGGUGAGUGUGAGCAACCGCAGGGCUCUGAAGAGGAAAAUGUCAAUGAUGUAACACACAGGACUAGAAAAGCAACCACUGAGAGAGAAACCUGUUAGUUAUUUAGCCGCGUUGUGCUCUUACCCUGCAAGGAAGUGUCACGAAACACGACAGAAUCCGCUUAUAAGAGUUUAUUAGAGAUAAAGGGAUAGAGAGUGCGCAGGCCUGUGGGA